rnacentral:rRNA from 1 species
UACGAAGGUAGCGAGCGUUGUUCGGAAUCACUGGGCGUAAAGCGUGCGUAGGUGGUUUUGUAAGUCAGAAGUGAAAGCCUGGGGCUCAACCUCAGAAUUGCUUUUGAGACUGCAAAGCUAGAGUAUUGGAGAGGUCAGUGGAAUUCCGAGUGUAGAGGUGAAAUUCGCAGAUAUUCGGAGGAACACCAGUGGCGAAGGCGACUGACUGGACAAUUACUGACGCUGAGGCACGAAAGCCAGGGGAGCAAACGGG